UUCAUUUUCCAAACACUGUCCCACUCUCAUCUAAAACCUCCACCACAUCCUUGACGUAUUACAGGUUUUCCCUCAGCUAGUGCAUAGGCACUAGAUUCAUCCCGUUCUUCUUCUCCAUUAUUGAGUGGUCCUUGGAUAAGGCGUCUAGUUGCAUCUUCCCCAGGAUUUGAUCAACUCACCGUUUCUAACCACCCAUCUCUGCCCUUGUUUUAAUAGCCCAGAGCCUAUCGCUUUCUUUUUAUAUUGUGCCACCCUAAUUUCACCCUGAAAGCAGUAUGUUUAGACUUAGAGUCUUUGAUCCCCAAGUCUACCACCGUGCUUUUCUGUUUUGGCCGUCUUCCAAUUAAUGAGGUGUAGUUUCGAGUUAUACGCCUUGUAUUGUAGGCGAAAGCAAGUUAGCUUUCUAACCACACUAAGUUCAGUUCUCACUUUUGUCCACAAUCAAGUUGUAGUUUGGCUUUGUUACCCUCUUUGUGUCAAUGGGAAACUAAACCCUCAAACUCUCAAUGCAAAGGGCGUUGCAAAUAGUAUAAUAAUACAUCACAAUGUUUACUUUUCGUUGGGAUUAAGACAAAGGCAUAUAUGUUUGGUUUCAUGAAGGUGAAGUUUAUGUUUGUUCUUUUGUUAGCUAUGAAUUGCCUAGUGCAUUAGUUUUAGUUCAUCAAAGAACUGAACUGAUCAUAAAUAUGUUUCUCCAUUUGAUCUUGCAUGUAGUCUAGUCCCCAACUCCUGAGGAUGUAUUUUGUUAUAUUUGAGGAAGGUUUCCCAAUACUGAUUCAGCAUUUCUGAUCUGGCACGGGGAAUUGUGGAUUUGAACAGAGGUGGCAUGUCUAGCUGUUUAUGCUGGGACAUAUAUUAGAAUCAUUGCUUCAUUCCCAUUCGAGUUUGGUUCUUGGGACAUAUUUGGAGUUUUAAAAGUUGCAUAAUUUCACAAGAAAUGCGUGGAAUAGUGGCUUCAUAUAGAGUUAUAUAGCCUAGAAGUUAGGGGGGAAUGACAAGAAACUCAUUUGGGAAGGCACCCCGAGCAGUGUAAGAGGUUGCCAUGAAUCAUGAUAGCCUCAUCAUGCAACGUAACUUCGGUGGGACAGGAAAGAGUCGAAGCUACGAGUAUGGAGAUGGAUACGGAAAGAACAACAAACCCAGGAGGAGGUGCAUGCAUACCCAAUCUCUGUAGUUAAAAUGCCCAGCUGGAUCCCUGCUUCACAUCCCCAUAAUACUUGUUAUAUAUUCUUGUAAUAUUUAAAGUAGCUUGCAGUUAACAUUAAGGAUUCUUGAACUCUAUCGACAUUGGAGGCUUAAAUCUUUUUAUAACUAGACAAUAAGCUUAAUCUCUGUAUAACUAUUGAGACGUGGAAUCUAAAUCUAGUUGAAGAAGCUCAAAAGAUGACAGUAUAAACUAGUUGACUUAAUUCCUACCA